rnacentral:ribozyme from 1 species
ACAAACAACAAGAAGAAGAAGCAACAAAAGAAUACUGGGCUGAGACGCCGAAGAUAGAUGAUAUUGCAUUGAUUUGAUGUCAUCCGCAGUGGUCGUCUGUUUUUUCAUUUUUUCAUUUUUUUGUUUUUAU